rnacentral:rRNA from 1 species
GCUUGUCUCAAAGAUUAAGCCAUGCAUGUGUAAGUAUAAGUAGUAUACGGCGAAACUGCGAAUGGCUCAUUAAAACAGUUAUGAUUUAUUUGAUAAUCGAAAGUUACAUGGAUAACCGUGACAAAUUACAGCUAAUACAUGCGUCAAAACCCGACUCCUGGGAGGGUUGUAUUUAUUAGAUGGAAACCAAUGCGGGGCAACCCGGUAUAUGGUGAUUCAUAAUAACUUUCGGAUCGAUCUUCGGAUCGAUGCAUCAUUCAAGUUUCUGCCCUAUCAGCUUUGGAUGGUAGGGUAUUGGCCUACCAUGGCUUUAACGGGUAACGGAGAAUUAGGGUUCGAUUCCGGAGAGGGAGCCUGAGAAAUGGCUACCACAUCCAAGGAAGGCAGCAGG